rnacentral:rRNA from 1 species
UGUAGUCUGCAACCCGACUACAUGAAGCUGGAAUCGCUAGUAAUCGCGAAUCAGCAUGUCGCGGUGAAUACGUUCCCGGGUCUUGUACACACCGCCCGUCACACCAUGGGAGUUGGAAAUGCCCGAAGUCAGUGACCCAACCGAAAGGAGGGAGCUGCCGAAGGCAGGUUCGAUAACUGGGGUGAAGUCGUAACAAGGUAUC